rnacentral:pre_miRNA from 1 species
UCUCUGGGCCUGAUCCAGAGCCCACUAUAGUUAAUGGAAGUUUUUCCAUUGACUUCAGUGGGUUUUGGAUCAGGCCUUAUAUGU